rnacentral:rRNA from 1 species
AAAAUUUAAAAUAAAAAUACUAAAAUAGUAAAUAAAUAUUUAUUGAAACUUAAAUGAUUUGGCGGUAUUUUAGUUCAUUUAGAGGAAUCUGUUUAGUAAUUGAUAAUCCACGAAUAAAUUUACUUAAUUUAUAAUUUUAUAUAUCGUUGUUAAAAAAAUAUUUUUUAAUAAAAUUAAUAUUUAAAAAUUAAUAAAAUAAAUUAAAUCAGAUCAAGAUGUAGAUUAUAAUUAAGAAUAUAAUGGAUUACAAUAAAAUUAUUUAAACUAAUUUUAAUUUGUAAAAUUUAAUUGAAGGUGGAUUUAAAUGUAAUUUUAUUUAAUUUAAUAAAAUGAUUGAAAAUUAAAAUAUGC